AGGAGGGUAGUUAAUCAUAAUAAUUAACUUGCAAUUAAUAGUAGUUGUUCAACCCCAACCCCUUCCA
rnacentral:tRNA from 1 species